AGCAUACAAAAGAUCAUGUCAUCUGCAACCAGAGUUAAUUUUACAUUUUCCUUUCCUGUUUGGAUGUCUAUUUCUUUUUUCUUAGCUGAUUUCUCUGGCUAGGACUUUCAGUACUAUGUUGAAUAGAAGUGGCGAGAUUCUAGAUUGUUCCUAAUCUUAAUGGGAAAGCUUUCAGUUUUUCAUCAUUUAACUUUAAACUUUUGUUUUAGUACCUAAUGAAAUGAAAAGUUGCCAAUAUAUUAACACAAAUUUCCCUAGGGUGAGAGCCAGUCAUAAUCUUAAUCAAGGUCAUGAGAGAAAAAUAUGGUAAUAGCUGAUACACUAGUCAAAAGUUCAGACUCAGCGAACUUGUGUUCUAUUCCAAGUCAGUCAUGAAUUUGCAGUGAGGCAAGCUUUUUUUUUCCUCCACCAAGUAUCUGUUUUCCCUUCUAUGAAAUGGGAUAAUUUUUUAGAAUAAUUUUGUCUGUCUAAGAUUUUAUCUCUUUAUGUUUUAUGUGUAUGUAAAUUACUUUGUACUAAUUGGUGAUAAGAAUAACUUUAGUUGAAUGUGAGAUUACAGCAAAAUCUUUUUUUGGAAAAGAUUAUUGAGAUCUUCAUUUUUAUUCUGAAAAUAAGACUUCAUAAGGAUGGUAAUUUUUGGAUUUGCAUUUAUGCUUAUCUUUAAAAAUCAUAGUAGUAACUACUACCUAUAAAUAAAUAGCAUAACUUUAUUUUUAGUACAGUGUUUUGAAAUAAGGUAGCAUGCAAGAAAGUCUGUUGAAUUCCUAUUAAAUAAAAAGGUAAUUCCAAAUUGUAUAGUAUGUUACAUUUUCCUUACAUGUUAUAUUAGUUUUCUGUUGCUUUUAAUCUAGAUCAAGUAAAGGUAUUAUCUCCAUCCUGGGGCACAAUUUGUGUCUAUUUGGUGACUUGUGAAACUAGAUAACAGAUUUUUCUGCCCCCAAAAUACAUUGUUGGAAUAAGCAUAGGGUAACACUUACAGAUGUUCCAGCUUAAAAAGGAGAAGACAGAAGGUAAAGAAAGAGUGACUGGUCCCAGGAAGGAAGGAAGGAAGGAAUGGCGCUCAGUCGU
rnacentral:lncRNA from 1 species